AAUAUACUCCCUCCGUUCAGAAAUACUCGCCGGAGGAAUGGAUGUAUGUAGACAUAUUUUAAUUCUAGAUACACCUAUUUCUAUCCAUUCCUUCGACAAGUAUUUCGGGACGGAGGGAGUAUAUG
rfam:Triticum urartu cultivar G1812 contig411146, whole genome shotgun sequence.